rnacentral:lncRNA from 1 species
AUCACCAACCCCUACCCCCUCGACUCUCUCUCUUUCUUUUCCUCUCAAAAAAUUUCACAAAAGAAAAACAACUCAAACCCCACAAAACACAAACCUCUCCCUUGGCUCCCUCUCUUUUCUCUCUCAAUUCACAAUACAUCCACACACACAAAUCAAAACAAAUGAAGGAAACAAUGGACAGUUGAGGCUUGGGAAUUUCAUAAAAAAUGCUAACCAAGGAACUACCACUUACAUUGAAGGUAUUUUCCAGUUUUGUUAAUCAUAUUAAAUCCAUGUUAGUUGUCUAGUUUCUCUUACUUUUGCUAUUUUUUGUUGUUGUUAUUAUGUUGUUGAAAAUUUGGGAUAGGUCAUAAAGAAGAUUAAGGAAAGAAAAAUAGUUUUUGUGUAUGCAUGUUAAGUAUUUGUAAAAAUGUCAAAAUGAAAAAUGGAAUUAAAUUGGGUGGUUUUGUUAAUUUAAGGUCAUAGUUGUAUUGUAGAAAUCACAAGGAGUGUUUCGGUAUAAAUUUUAUGAUUUUUGGUGAAGAUUUGGGUGAUUUUUAAAAAAAUAACCGACUGUAAAUUACACUUUUGAGCACCUUUCAUGUGUUUUUGUAAAAAACUAAGGUAGGAAAUGGAUUCUACAUGAAAAAUCAAAUAGGGAGGUAUAUUUUGGUGAAAUUUUACGACCGAAAAGGUUGCUGCCGACGAUCAUGGUUUCAGUCUUGCCAGAGAAGAAGAAGAGAUAAAAAAAAAAAAAGAGGAAGAAAGAAAAAGGAAAGAAAAAAAUGAGAGUGGGUUGAGAUUUUUUUGAUUUGGGCUUGUGUCUUUGUUUCGUUUUGAGGCUUGUGACUGGGCUUUCUUUUUUAAACCCAAUAUUUUCACUCUAUUAAAUUUUGCAAGUUUUCUUUGGAUUUGCUGAUUAUUUUUAUUAAUCAGCCUGCGUUUUUCUUUUGGGCUAUAGAGUGGUCCGGUCCAAGUGAUAAAAGAAUAAGGGUCCAACCUGGUUUUUUCACAUUUUUUCAAAAUAAAAAAUUCAAUUUGUAAUUCGGUCCCUGAUCUUUUGAGUAAUUUUAUUGUGGUUCAAAAAUUUUAAAUUUUUUUCAUUUUGAUCUUUAAUUUAAUUUCAUUUUGACCUCUAAACUUUAUUUUUAUUUAAUUUUUGACCCCUAAUUUUAUAAAACUUUAUUUUUACCUCAAAAACUUUUAAAUUUUUAUAAUUUAGUCCCUAAUAGUUUUUAUUCAUCACUUAUAAUUGCUCCCUUCCUUUAGUUGUUAAUUAUACUUCUCUUGCAUGUAUUUAAAUUAUACAUUUUAACUGUUUUGAGUUUAUUUACAUAUUUUAUCCAUUUGAAUUGACCAUUUUUUCAAAAACUAGCUUUUCAAAUACAAUGCUAUAGUAAUACACAAUAAGUCAACAAACUUCUCAUCCAUUCAAUAUAUCAAUUAGUUCAAAAAAUUUUAUAGUAAAAAUUUUUCAUAUACACUACUACAGUAAAAUUUUUCAAAAACAUCUCAAAAAAUAACUAAUUCAAACGGAGCAAAUGUGAAUCUUGUACAUUUGUUUUAAUAUAUUUUCAAUUAAAUUGGUACCGUUAUUCUUUUGUUGAUUUUGAAUAUAAAUAGGGCAACUCUCCCUGAUUUAGCUCCUACUUCAAGCAAGCUACUCUCUAUUAUUUUUAAACUGUUUUAUGUACUCUUAUGUGUUUUUUUAUGUGUGAUUGUAUGUUUUAUGUGCUUUUUUUUUCUUUUAUUUACUCAUUUUAUUUAUUUUUAGCUUUCAUUUAUUUUAUUUUAUUUUGAUGUUUACUAGGAAAGUAUUUAAAUACCAAAUUGUAAUAGAUAGGUUGUACCCUCUUACCUAAAAAAAUGUAUUUAGAUAGGCGAUGUAAGAGAUAGAUCUUAUUUUUGUCAAGAAAUGUGAUUAGUUAGAUAAGUGUAAUAGAUAAGUUUUUUAUUUCCAAAAUUUUUCUUUUAAAUUGUAACUAGGGUUCCCAAUUGUAAUAGUUAGGAUUUAUUUGCUUGCAUACUUGUGUGCUUGUGUGUUUAUAUGUUUAUCCG